CACUCUAGCGAGACUGCCGGUAAUAAACCGGAGGAAGGUGGGGAUGACGUCAAAUCAUCAUGCCCCUUAUGACCUGGGCUACACACGUGCUACAAUGGUUGGUACAACGAGUUGCGAGUCGGUGACGGCGAGCUAAUCUCUUAAAGCCAAUCUCAGUUCGGAUUGUAGGCUGCAACUCGCCUACAUGAAGUCGGAAUCGCUAGUAAUCGCGGAUCAGCACGCCGCCGGUAAAUACGUUCCGGGCCUU
rnacentral:rRNA from 1 species